rnacentral:sRNA from 1 species
GCAAACGAAGUCAUCAGCCGUAGCAAUUAAUUCUAAUUUGUUCAGUAGAGACCGUGAAUUCAAACUAAAAGUAUUCCUUAAGAUUUUCUUGUGCUUUUCUUCGAAAAAUUAUAAGAUGCUUCAAGAACUUGUGUUCAUCCUUGGUCCUUUAAUUGCCAUGUUGUCAUAUGUCGCUAAGAAUUCUUAUCCUUAUAUAUCAAAGUUGAACGAAUUUGAAUUUGUUUCGGAGGUUUUGGUCAUCGAAUCGGAGUUGCAAGACAUGAUGGAGUAUCUAAAAAAAUCAGGAGCUAAUGAGGAAACGCUAGACAUGGUACGAGUCCUUACUAGUAGUUUCCACACUGAUGUGUCUGAAGAUUCAAUGAAAUACUAUUGAUAAUUUGGGAAGAUUUCAUAAAAAAUUUCCGGGGUUUUCCUCUUUUGGUGAAGAAUUUUGGCAAUAACAAUUAUUUAAAAAAUUAUCAACUAAACUGAUUACUUGUACCAGGAUCUUGGUAAAUGAAGAAUUAUGAAAAACGGAGACAUUAAUUUUGGAAGAACGGAACACUAUUGGAAUACAUAAAAAUAUUAAAUU